rnacentral:lncRNA from 1 species
UCUCUCUCUCUCUCCCCCUCUCCCUCUCUGAGGUAUGUUACAUGGGAAUGGUAUAGAGUAUUUUUAAUGCUUAGGUGUGUUAUUCUGUCUUUCUUUAUGCACGGAUGGUUCUGUGUUGUUUAUUAUUUGCAUUACAUUUCAUGUCCUCCUAAAGUUCCAAUCCUAUGGGUCCACAAACAGUACAAUGGAGGCCUCCAACAAAACAGUAUAAUUGAAAUGACCUGUGAAAGAGUUUGGAUUUGGAAACAGCUAAUCCCAAAUACCAAUUAAAUUUAUGGGAUCAUGUGUCACAACUC